rnacentral:lncRNA from 1 species
ACAAGUGAACCACACUGAAUGCAGCUGCCCAAGAUCCUGAGCAAAAGUGACAGUUUAGGCCUAAAAUCACACAGAAGAGGGGGAAGGAAGUAUGGAAGAGCCAAACUCACUCCCGUGUGGACGUCGGCACCUGCACCAAAUUAAGAUUUCAGGGCUGAACUCAGAGAGCUUAGUAGAAAAGACGGAAAGGAAAACAAAUGGCAGACAAGCUGAGGGUGAAGGCUAUGGAGCGAAUACCUCCCCGCCGGCCGGUGUGUAAGCUAAAGAGCAUUUCGGCAAACUUGUGUGAACACAGUCC